CCUACGGGAGGCAGCAGUGGGGAAUAUUGGACAAUGGGCGCAAGCCUGAUCCAGCCAUGCCGCGUGGAUGAUGAAGGUUUUCGGAUUGUAAACUCCUGUCACUGCAGAACAAGGCUAUGCCCGUUAACAGCGGAUGUAGUUGAUGGUAUGCGGAGAGGAAGGGACGGCUAACUCUGUGCCAGCAGCCGCGGUAAU
rnacentral:rRNA from 1 species